CACGUAGGGUGCGAGCGUUGUCCGGAAUUAUUGGGCGUAAAGAGCUCGUAGGCGGUCUGUUGCGUCUGCCGUGAAAACCCGAGGCUUAACCUCGGGCCUGCGGUGGAUACGGGCGGACUAGAGUGCGGUAGGGGAGACUGGAAUUCCUGGUGUAGCGGUGGAAUGCGCAGAUAUCAGGAGGAACACCGAUGGCGAAGGCAGGUCUCUGGGCCGCAACUGACGCUGAGGAGCGAAAGCAUGGGGAGCGAACAGG
rnacentral:rRNA from 1 species